rnacentral:misc_RNA from 1 species
GUGAGUCAUCGAAUCUUUGAACGCACAUUGCGCCCCCUGGCAUUCCGGGGGGCACACCUGUUCGAGCGCCAUUUCGACCCUCAAGCACGGCUUGGUGUUGGGCGCGGUCCGUACGUGACCUGCCCGUAACGCGUCGGCGGCCGCCGCCCGCGCCCCCAGCGUAGCAAGCUCACGCGUUCGCUCGGGGACGGUGCGCGCCCGGCCGCCCACAAACACUUUCAAGGUUUGGCCUCGGAUCAGGUGGGGAUACCCGCUGAACUUAAGCAUAUCAAUAAGCGGAGGA